rnacentral:rRNA from 1 species
AUUGAACGCUGGCGGCAGGCCUAACACAUGCAAGUCGAGCGGAUGAAGGGAGCUUGCUCCUGGAUUCAGCGGCGGACGGGUGAGUAAUGCCUAGGAAUCUGCCUGGUAGUGGGGGAUAACGUCCGGAAACGGGCGCUAAUACCGCAUACGUCCUGAGGGAGAAAGUGGGGGAUCUUCGGACCUCACGCUAUCAGAUGAGCCUAGGUCGGAUUAGCUAGUUGGUGGGGUAAAGGCCUACCAAGGCGACGAUCCGUAACUGGUCUGAGAGGAUGAUCAGUCACACUGGAACUGAGAAACGGUCCAGACUCCUACGGGAGGCAGCAGUGGGGAAUAUUGGACAAUGGGCGAAAGCCUGAUCCAGCCAUGCCGCGUGUGUGAAGAAAGUCUUCGGAUUGUAAAGCACUUUAAGUUGGGAGGAAGGGCAGUAAGUUAAUACCUUGCUGUUUUGACGUUACCAACAGAAUAAGCACCGGCUAACUUCGUG